UACGUAGGGUGCGAGCGUUGUCCGGAAUUAUUGGGCGUAAAGGGCUCGUAGGCGGUUUGUCGCGUCGGGAGUGAAAACCAGGUGCUUAACACCUGGCUUGCUUUCGAUACGGGCAGACUAGAGGUAUGCAGGGGAGGACGGAAUUCCUGGUGUAGCGGUGAAAUGCGCAGAUAUCAGGAGGAACACCGGUGGCGAAGGCGGUUCUCUGGGCAUGACCUGACGCUGAGGAGCGAAAGUGUGGGGAGCGAACAGG
rnacentral:rRNA from 1 species